rnacentral:rRNA from 1 species
AGCGGCAACAGCUCAGAUUUGAAAUCCGGCCCCCGGCCCGAGUUGUAAUCUGCAGAGGAUGCUUCGGGCGCGGCGCCUUCCAAGUCCCCUGGAACGGGGCGCCAGAGAGGGUGAGAGCCCCGUCCGGUCGGCCGCCAAGCCCGUGCGAAGCUCCUUCGACGAGUCGAGUAGUUUGGGAAUGCUGCUCUAAACGGGAGGUAGACCCCUUCUAAAGCUAAAUACCGGCCAGAGACCGAUAGCGCACAAGUAGAGUGAUCGAAAGAUGAAAAGCACUUUGAAAAGAGGGUUAAACAGUACGUGAAAUUGUUGAAAGGGAAGCACUCGCGACCAGACGUGCGGCGGGUGCUCAGCAGGCGUUCUCGCCUGUGCACUCGCCCGCCGCAGGCCAGCGUCGGCUCGCGCGGGGGGAGAAAGGCGCCGGGAACGUGGCUCCUCCGGGAGUGUUACAGCCCGGCGCGCCAUGCCCCCGCUGCGGGCCGAGGUCCGCGCUCCGCAAGGACGCUGGCGUAAUGGUCUCCAGUGACCCGUCUUGAAA